rnacentral:rRNA from 1 species
GACGAACGCUGGCGGCGUGCCUAAUACAUGCAAGUAGAACGCACAGUUUAUACCGUAGCUUGCUACACCAUAGACUGUGAGUUGCGAACGGGUGAGUAACGCGUAGGUAACCUGCCUGGUAGCGGGGGAUAACUAUUGGAAACGAUAGCUAAUACCGCAUAAUAUUGAUUAUUGCAUGAUAAUUGAUUGAAAGAUGCUAUUGCAUCACUACCAGAUGGACCUGCGUUGUAUUAGCUAGUAGGUGAGGUAACGGCUCACCUAGGCGACGAUACAUAGCCGACCUGAGAGGGUGAUCGGCCACACUGGGACUGAGACACGGCCCAGACUCCUACGGGAGGCAGCAGUAGGGAAUUUUCGGCAAUGGACGAAAGUCUGACCGAGCAACGCCGCGUGAGUGAAGAAGGUUUUCGGAUCGUAAAGCUCUGUUGUAAGAGAAGAACGGGUGUGAGAGUGGAAAGUUCACACUGUGACGGUAUCUUACCAGAAAGGGACGGCUAACUACGUG